UGGAUGAGGCUGUCUUUAUUACUGCCUGACUAGAAAAAGGAACCCAGUCGCCUGGCUGGAAGUUUGUCUCAUUCCUUCUCCGUUUGAAGCGAGUCACAGAGUAGGGAGACACUGGCUGUGUUUCAGUUCACUUUUUUGACUCUGAAAGACAUCUUGACAUAGUUUUAAUUUCUAAUUUUUUUAUAUAAAUGGAUGCAGAUGUUAGGUUUCUUAAUUACGAUCAAUUGUACUUUGUUUAAAGAAUGCACUAUAAUACUGUGAGAUGGGUAAUGUUACAUUAAACCAGCCUGAAACAACAUACAGCACAGGCUUGAUGAGGAGACUGAAACAAUCUGAUGAAACCUUAAAGAUCAACCUUAAACUGUAACUUACCCUUUUUUUCAACCUGGAACAACAAUCUUUGACAAUGGUCCAGUAUUAAGCAAGAUAUCUGCAGUUAGUAGCGGCA